CCUACGGGAGGCAGCAGCGAGGAAUUUUCCACAAUGGGCCGUAUGGCCUGAUGGAGCAACGCCGCGUGGGGGACGAAGCGUUUCGGCGUGUAAACCCCUUUUGGGCGGGAAGAUGAUGACGGUACCGCCCGAAUAAGCCCCGGCUAACUACGUGCCAGCAGCCGCGGUAAUACGUAGGGGGCGAGCGUUGUCCGGAUUUAUUGGGCGUAAAGAGCGCGCAGGCGGCCCGCCAAGUCACCACGUGAAAUCCCCCGGCUCAACCGGGGAGGGUCGGGUGAAACUGGCGGACUUGACGAUGGGAGAGGGGUGCGGAAUUCCCGGUGUAGUGGUGAAAUGCGUACAUAUCGGGAGGAACACCAGUGGCGAAGGCGGCACCCUGGCCCAUACCUGACGCUGAGGCGCGAAGGCCGGGGGAGCGAACGGGAUUAGAUACCCCGGUAGUCCCGGCAGUAAACCAUGGACACUCGGUGUCGGCGGUGUUGACCCCGCCGGUGCCCGAGCUAACGCAUUAAGUGUCCCGCCCGGGGAGUACGGCCGCAAGGCUAAAACUCAAAGGAAUUGACGGGGGCCCGCACAAGCAGCGGAGCGUGUGGUUUAAUUCUAUGCGACGCCAAGAACCUUACCCAGGCUUGACAUGUCUAUGUAAGCCGGUGGAAACAUUGGCCCCCAUCCGCUUCGCCGGAUGGCAUAGUCACAGGUGUUGCAUGGCUGUCGUCAGCUCGUGCCGUGAGGUGUUGGGUUAAGUCCCGCAACGAGCGCGACCCUUGUCGCGAGUUAUACUUCUCUCGCGAGACUGCCCGGUAGAGAACCUGAGCACGUGGGGAUGAUGUCAACUCAGCAUGACCCUUACGUCUUGGCGCACACACACGCUACGAUGGCCGGUACACUGGGGAGCGAUGGGGCGACCCUCGAGCCCAUUCCCCUUAAGUCCGGCCUCAGUUGGGAUCGCAGCUGAAACCCUCGUCCGUGACUGCGCACUUGCUCGUAAUCGCGCGUCCGGCUUACGGCGAGAGUAGAUUCCAGG
rnacentral:rRNA from 1 species